CGUACCCGGAAAUGGGGGAUAACGUAGCGAAAGUUACGCUAAUACCGCAUAUGCCCUAAGGGGGAAAGCGGGGGAUUCGCAAGAACCUCGCGUUUUCGGAGCGGCCGAUAUCGGAUUAGCUAGUAGGUGAGGUAAAGGCUCACCUAGGCGACGAUCCGUAGCUGGUCUGAGAGGACGACCAGCCACACUGGAACUGAGACACGGUCCAGACUCCUACGGGAGGCAGCAGUGGGGAAUUUUGGACAAUGGGCGCAAGCCUGAUCCAGCCAUGCCGCGUGAGUGAAGAAGGCCUUCGGGUUGUAAAGCUCUUUCAGCCGGAAAGAAAACGCACGGGAUAAUACCCUGUGUGGAUGACGGUACCGGAAGAAGAAGCACCGGCUAACUACGUGCCAGCAGCCGCGGUAAUACGUAGGGUGCGAGCGUUAAUCGGAAUUACUGGGCGUAAAGCGUGCGCAGGCGGUUUUGUAAGACAGAUGUGAAAUCCCCGGGCUUAACCUGGGAACUGCAUUUGUAACUGCAAGGCUAGAGUACGGCAGAGGGGGGUAGAAUUCCACGUGUAGCAGUGAAAUGCGUAGAUAUGUGGAGGAAUACCGAUGGCGAAAGCAGCCCCCUGGGUCGAUACUGACGCUCAUGCACGAAAGCGUGGGGAGCAAACAGGAUUAGAUACCCUGGUAGUCCACGCCCUAAACGAUGUCAACUAGUGUUGGGGGAGGAGACUUCCUUAGUACCGCAGCUAACGCGUGAAGUUGACCGCCUGGGGAGUACGGUCGCAGAUUAAAACUCAAAGGAAUUGAC
rnacentral:rRNA from 1 species